rnacentral:rRNA from 1 species
CUUUUUGUCUGGCGACCGGCGCACGGGUGAGUAACACGUAUCCAGCCUGCCCUUUACUCGGGGAUAGCCUUUCGAAAGAAAGAUUAAUACCCGAUAGCAUAAUGAUUCCGCAUGGUUUCAUUAUUAAAGGAUUCCGGUAAAGGAUGGGGAUGCGUUCCAUUAGGUUGUUGGUGAGGUAACGGCUCACCAAGCCUUCGAUGGAUAGGGGUUCUGAGAGGAAGGUCCCCCACAUUGGAACUGAGACACGGUCCAA